GUAAAAGUGCAUUCGAGUCAUAUG
rnacentral:siRNA from 1 species